UUUGCUAUGCGAUGUCACAAUUGUGGCAGAAGACAUGGAAAUCUCUGCUCAUAGAGUGGUGCUGGCCGCCUGUAGUCCUUAUUUUCAUGCCAUGUUUACAGGUGAGAUGAGUGAAAGCCAAGCAAAGAGAGAAUAAAAGAGGUAGAUGGCUGGACCCUGAGGAUGCUAAUUGAUUACAUUUACACCGCAGAAAUUCAGGUUACAGAAGAAAAGUACAGGCACUUCUUCCAGCAGCUGGUCUCUUACAGUUACAGGAUGUGAAGAAGACCUGCUGUGAAUUUUUGGAAUCCCAGCUUCACCCUGUCAACUGCUUAGGAAUCCGGGCUUUUGCUGAUAUGCAUGCAUGUGCCGACCUUCUGAACAAGGCCAACACCUAUGCAGAGCAUCAUUUUGCAGAUGUCGUACUUAUAGAAUAAUUUCUCAAUCUUGGCAUUAAACAAGUGUGCAGCUUAAUCUCAAGUGACAAACUUACCAUUUUCUCAGAAGAGAAGGUAUUUGAAGCAGUAAUUGCAUGGGUGAACCAUGACAAGGAUGUGAGGCAAGAGUUUAUGGCCCAACUGAUGGAACAUGUGCGGUUACCUUUGUUUCCUCGGGAAUAUUUAGUUCAGAGGAUUGAAGAGGAAGCAUUGGUCAAGAAUAGCAGUGCUUGCAAAGAUUACCUGAUUGAAGCAAUGAAGUAUCAUCUGCUGCCGACAGGGCAGCGUAUAUUAAUGAAGAGUGUCCGGACCCCGCUGAGGACACCCGUGAACCUUCCCAAAUUGAUGGUGGUUGUUGGGGGUCAAGCACCAAAGGCUAUCCAGAGUGUGGAAUGCUAUGACUUUAAAGAAGAAAGGUGGCACCAAGUAGCAGAGUUGCCUUCCAGGAGGUGCAGGGCAGGGAUGGUCUACAUGGCUGGACUUGUUUUUGCCGUUAGUGGCUUUAAUGGCUCAUUAAGAGUUCACUGUAGAUUCCCACAACCCUGUGAAGGACUAGUGGACCAAUGUUGCUAACAUGAGAGACCGGAGAAGCACUUUGGGAGCUGCUGUGUUAAAUGGGUUGUUAUAUGCUGUGGGAUGCUUUGAUGGGAGUACAGGUUUAUCAUCUGUGGAAGCAUGCAACAUAAAGUCUAAUAAGUGGCUUCAUGUAGCUCCCAUGAACACAAGGAGGAGCAGUGUUGGUGUGGGUGUUGUUGGAAGUUUGCUCUAUGCUGUAGGAGGUUAUGACGGAGCAUCACGUCAGUGUCUUAGCACAGUAGAAUGCUAUAAAGCUACAACAAAUGAGUGGACCUAUAUAGCAGAAAUGAGCACCAGACGGAGUGGAGCAGGCGUUGGUGUGUUAAACAAUUUAUUGUAUGCUGCAGGAGGUCAUGAUGGCCCUUUAGUACGAAAAAGUGUUGAAGUAUAUGAUCCCACCACUAAUGCAUGGAGACAGGUUGCAGAUAUGAACAUGUGCAGAAGAAAUGCAGGAGUUUGUGCAGUUAAUGGUCUGUUAUAUGUUGUUGGAGGGGACGAUGGUUCCUGUAACUUGGCGUCGGUAGAGUAUUAUAACCCAACAACCGAUAAAUGGACAGUUGUGUCAUCGUGUAUGAGCACAGGGAGAAGUUAUGCAGGGGUCACAGUUACUGAUAAAACAUUAUGAGCCUGAAAGACAUUUUCAGCAUAUUUAUACAUGAGAAACAGCCUUCAACAAGCAUUUCUGAAGUGACUGAGAAUCUAGCACUUCUCCACUUGGUAGCUGCACUUUAAGUAUCAGCAGAAGAUAAGAUUGUCUGCCUUUAUAGGCCUCGGAUACUGAAGAUUAUUUUUGGUAGAAGCAUCGUGUAGGCUUUUUCGGCAAUGAGCAGCAGCUGACUGAAUUUUCAUAAGAAACUUGGACUGCAGGACUUAAUCUGUAGUCUUUAGACAACAGUUGCUUUCAUAAAGACUAGUUCUUAUCAGCCUUGAAUGACUACGGAUUAUUUUGUGAAGGAGGAUGAAGUCACGUGUGUUCUUGUAAAAUUAAUUUUAUCUUUAUUUCUCUAAAAAUCUGUAUACCCAGGAACUGAAAAUCUUUGAACAGAUAUUAAAAUCUACGUAAGUAUACAAACUAGUUGAGGGAU